UCUUUAUGGGGAGCAAUUUUGUUGCCACGGUGAUGGGCAGGGACUUUAUGUCAGCUGCAGAGCAAGAGCUAGACCUUGUGAAAAUUGUUAACGAGGAGGUGUGUCUAAUAGUUAAUUAAUAACGGUUAAUAACUGAUUAUUAAUUGCUAGGUUAAGGGUAAUACUCCAGUGCUAUUGUGUUCAGUUCCUGGUUAUGAUGCUAGCAGUCGUGUUGAUGAUUUAUCAGCAUCACAGAACAAGCAGUGUACAUCAAUUGCUAUUGGAUCUGCUGAAGGAUUUAAUCUUGCAGAGAAAGGAAUUUCAUCAGCUUCAAAGACUGGAAGAUGGGUCAUAUUGAAGAACGUCCAUUUGGCUACCCAGUGGCUAGUAUCACUAGAGAAGAAGCUCCAUUCUCUCUCACCUCAUGCCAGUUUCCGUCUCUUCCUAACAAUGGAGAUUAAUCCUAAGAUCCUCGUUAAUCCUUUGAGAACCUCACAGAUCCUGACGUUUGAGCCUCCGCCUGGAAUCAAGGCCAACC